ACACAGUAUAAUUAUAUAUAGCUACCACCCUGGGAUGGAUUUCAAACAUUUUUGUAUAGGCCAUGGUACACUGAGGCUGGAUUCUAGUGUCAUUUUGUCACCUUACAUGGUACCGAUUAGGUCAAAAUUGAAGACUGGCUCAUAGACUAA